rnacentral:lncRNA from 1 species
GAAACCUCGGCCGUGGCUUCGAUCCUCAGCUUCCCUCCCCGCGCAUUUAGCGUGGUCUGUGUCCCGCUCCACAUUCUCCGGGGGAUUUUGCCCUUUGUUUUAGCAUUUGAUGUCCCGUGUGCUGGUCGGUCUUCACCACUUCCACUUCCAUCUCAGCACCGUGGAAUAACACAGAUUAACGAGGACUGACUAGAGAUUUGUUGAAAUGAGUCCAACUCGAAGAAGUUUCCUUGUGGACCAUUUUUCUUGGAAACAUUCAAGUUAACUCCAGAGCCUCCAGCACGCUCCACCACUGGUUCUGCUUUCUCCAUACCGAGAUUUGGAAAAGAGAGCAAGUCAUCUAUGCUUUCAAGCCUCGCUGCCUAGCAGUUGCAGCAUCACCUGGGAGUCUGUAUGGAAAUGAGGACUCGGGCUCCACCCAGACAUACUGAAUCAGAAUUAAGUUUAACAAAACCCUCACGUGAUUUCUAUGUAUCCUAAAGUUUGAGAAGCAUUUCUUAAAGAAUAUCAGGAAAUGGUAAAUCUCAUUGCAUUAGUUUUCUGUAACUACUACAAAAAAUUACAACAAACUUACUGGCUUACGGCAACACAAAUUUAUUCUCUUACAAGUGCUGUAGGUCAGAAGUCCUAAAUCUGUUUCACUGGGCCAAAAUCUAGGUGUUGGCAGGCCAACACUCCCUCCAUCUGUUUGGAGGGCACACCAAAAACCCGUCUCCUUACUCUUGAAUAUGAGAGUCAUAAAAAAUUUUUUUAACCCUUGUCCUUAAUACAACCUUGUGGAGCAGAGCCACUAGACCCAUUGCUUUCCAUCCUCCGAAUCAGUCAUAGAUUUUUUAAAAAAGAAAUUAAAAUUAAAAAUAGCAUCACAGUUUGAUGAAUUAAUGCUAAGCAAACAAAACGUUGGUCAACCCCCUCGACCACCUUUGUUGAAGCUGAAGCGGGGAACAGUGAAAAGUCAUAUCUAUUGGAUAUCGUUUGAGGUACAGCCAGAAGAGAGUGAAAAAUGGGCACAAAGAUGUGGAAUAGUCUGGGUGGUUCUGCUCUUCUGGAAAUGACUGCCAGACACAGCAGGUGGGGCGCAGGAAGGUCCACUGGGAAGAUAUCAGGAGUAGAGCACAUGACCCCUCCAUGUCCCAGAAUUUCUCCCUUCUAUGCUUGUGAACUUUUUUCGGUUAAUCAUGGACCUAGAGGGUAAAAAUAUAAAACAUAUCAAGACAUCACCAAGUCAGCUUAUUGGAGAGGCGUGGUGGAAGACCCUCAAAAGAAGAGAAAAACUUCCAUUAAGAAAUAGUCUUGGGGAGCCAGCCUGGUGGUGCAGCAGGUAAGUUCACUCAAUCUGCUUUGGCGGCCUGGGGCUCAACGGUUUGGAUCCUGGGUGUGGACGUGGCACCGCAUGGCAAGCCAUGCUGUGGUAGGCACCCCACAUAUAAAGUAGAGGAAGAUGGGCACGGAUGUUAGCUCAGGACCAGUCUUCCUCAGCAAAAAGAGGAUUGGCAGCAGAUGUUAGCAGAUGUCAGGGCUAAUCUUCCUCAAAAAAAAAAAAAAAGAAAUAGUCUUAAAAACAAGUUAGAUCAUAUUACUCUCAAGUCAUUACAAACAUAGGUGUUGAUUUCAUGGAAGCUCAAUGUUUCAGUGAAGCAAUUAUCAACUAGUUUCUUUUUAAAUAAUUGAAGACUCACAAGAAGUUGUAAAAACAGCAGAGUUCUUGUGUACCAUUCACCCAGCUUUGGGCAAUGAUACUUGCACAACCAUAGCACAUCAUCAACUAGUUUUUAAAGACUUCAAAGUUUGUUACAGUAUUUCAAAUCCUUCCCGACUACUGGGGAGGGUAGUUUCUGGGGAAGCAGCCUAGUCAGGAAGGUGAAGGAGGUGACACGCAGACGUUAAGUGCUUGGGCCAGCACCACAACUACACUCUCCCGGAGGAACGUUUCUCAACCUGGCUGAACAUGCGAAUCACUGGAGGAUGGGCAGAAUCCCCCCUGGCUGGGCACACCGCAAGUCAGCUACAUCAACCUCUGCGGGGAGGGCUCAGGCGUCCGUAUCUUUCAAAAGCUCCUCAGAAGCCCCGCCAACGUGCAGCCAGGGCUCAGAACUACUGAGCAAAGGCUUUACUAAGGUUGACUGGAUACUUUUUUUUUAAAUGAGGUUUUCAAGUAUGUUUUACUUUGACAUCAUUGAGAAAUACUGAAAUGUACUCAAAGUCCCUUUGCUCUAUAGCACUUAUCAUAACUAAACAAAUUAAGGCUUAAGACCGAGCUAUGUUACCAGAAAGACACGGGGCUUCUCAUCCCUGGGCAAAAGUCUGAGAAGUUCAAGCGUGGGAUAAACGGAUGGCUGGAGUUAACCGAGAUCUACUCCUUUUCCUCCAACUCUAGACUCCCGCAGUUUGGAUCAGUAUCAUUGUUUCUACUCCAAAUUUGAGGAAAUUUUUGUGAACUGCUAGCUAACAUCUCAGAGAAAAUAUAAAUGAAUGGGUUUCUCCUGUCCCGCCCGCUGGCAGAAACCAC